rnacentral:rRNA from 1 species
AAGUCGUAGACUGACAUAUGAGUUCACGUGGGGUACCUGCCUGUAAGACUGGGAUAACUCCGGGAAACCGGGGCUAAUACCGGAUAACUCAUUUCCUCGCAUGAGGAAAUGUUGAAAGAUGGCUUCGGCUAUCACUUACAGAUGGACCCGCGGCGCAUUAGCUAGUUGGUGAGGUAACGGCUCACCAAGGCAACGAUGCGUAGCCGACCUGAGAGGGUGAUCGGCCACACUGGGACUGAGACACGGCCCAGACUCCUACGGGAGGCAGCAGUAGGGAAUCUUCCGCAAUGGACGAAAGUCUGACGGAACAACGCCGCGUGAGUGAUGAAGGUUUUCGGAUCGUAAAGCUCUGUUGUUAGGGAAGAACAAGUGCCGUUCGAAUAGGGCGGCACCUUGACGGUACCUAACCAGAAAGCCACGGCUAACUACGUGCCAGCAGCCGCGGUAAUACGUAGGUGGCAAGCGUUGUCCGGAAUUAUUGGGCGUAAAGCGCGCGCAGGUGGUUCCUUAAGUCUGAUGUGAAACCCACGGCUCACCGUGGAGGGCAUUGGAAACUGGGGAACUUGAGUGCAAAAAGGAAAUGGAAUUCCAGUGUAGCGGUGAAUGCGUAAAAUUUGGAGGAAACCAG